UUAUGGCCAUAUCACAUUGAAACAUCAGUUCCUGUACAAUCACAAAAGUUAAACAACAUAAAGCCUGGUCAGUACCUAUAUGGGUGACCACUUGGGAAUAUCAGGUGCUGUAGGC